rnacentral:rRNA from 1 species
UACAGAGGUCUCGAGCGUUGUUCGGAUUCAUUGGGCGUAAAGGGUGCGUAGGCGGCGGGGUAAGUCUGAUGUGAAAUCCCGGGGCUCAACCCCGGAACUGCAUUGGAUACUGCUCUGCUUGAGUACUGGAGAGGAGACUGGAAUUUACGGUGUAGCAGUGAAAUGCGCAGAUAUCAGGAGGAACACCGGUGGCGAAGGCGGUUCUCUGGGCAUGUCCUGACGCUGAGGAGCGAAAGUGUGGGGAGCGAACAGG